GGGCACGUAGCUCAAUUGGGUAAGACCACCGCAACUUGUACGGAAGGACGCGGGUUCGAUUCCCGCCGUGUCCU
rnacentral:tRNA from 1 species